GAACAUCACCAGACUGUGUUUUGGACUCAUAAAGAAACUGCAAGAAGGAAGCGUACAGAGUAGGGCUGGGCGAUAUAUUGAUAUAAUAUCGAUAUCGUGAUAAAUGACUACGCGAUACACUUUUCAGAGAUAUCGUGAUGGCAUUAAAGCAAAGUAUCGUCGAACUCCGUUGAACAGUGAACACCGUCCUGCUGUCUUGCAGACAGUUUGUUAGAUAGGUUAUAUAUCGUGAUACGCAUCGUGUAUCCUAGAAAUGUCCUCAAGCAUGGCGAAAUGAUAUUUUUGUCACGUCACCCGGCCCGAGUACGGAGAGAAGAGGACAGACAGGAAAGAGAGAGUGGAUUGGGGUAAUAACGUUAAAUGACAGGACAGCAGGUCAGUUGUUA
ensembl:lncRNA